AUUGAACGCUGGCGGAAUGCCUUACACAUGCAAGUCGAACGGCAGCACGGACUUCGGUCUGGUGGCGAGUGGCGAACGGGUGAGUAAUGUAUCGGAACGUGCCCAGUCGUGGGGGAUAACGUAGUGAAAAUUACGCUAAUACCGCAUACGAUCUAUGGAUGAAAGCGGGGGAUCGCAAGACCUCGCGCGAUUGGAGCGGCCGAUAUCAGAUUAGGUAGUUGGUGGGGUAAAGGCCCACCAAGCCAACGAUCUGUAGCUGGUCUGAGAGGACGACCAGCCACACUGGAAGUGAGACACGGUCCAGACUCCUACGGGAGGCAGCAGUGGGGAAUUUUGGACAAUGGGCGAAAGCCAGUUCCAGCCAUUCCGCGGGCAGGUUGAAGGCCCUCGGGUUGUAAACUGCUUUUGUACAGAACGAAAAGGUUUCUACUAAUACUAGGAGCUCAUGACGGUACUGUAAGAAUAAGCACCGGCUAACUACGUGCCAGCCGCCGCAGUAA
rnacentral:rRNA from 1 species